rnacentral:rRNA from 1 species
GUGAGGAAUUUUCCGCAAUGGGCGAAAGCCUGACGGAGCAAUGCCGCGUGAAGGAUGAAGGCCUAUGGGUUGUAAACUUCUUUUCUCAGAAAAGAAUUAUGACGGUAUCUGAGGAAUAAGCAUCGGCUAACUCUGUGCCAGCAGCCGCGGUAAGACAGAGGAUGCAAGCGUUAUCCGGAAUGAUUGGGCGUAAAGCGUCUGUAGGUUGUUUAAAAAGUAUUCUGUCAAAGAUUAGGGCUUAACCCUAGAUAGGCAGAAUAAACUUUUAAGCUAGAGUUUGGUAGAGGCAGAGGGAAUUCCCGGUGGAGAGGUGAAAUGCGUAGAUAUCGGGAGGAACACCAAAGGCGAAGGCACUCUGCUGGGCCAAUACUAACACUGAGAGACGAAAGCGAGGGGAGCAAAUGGGAUUAGAAACCCCGGUAGUCC